rnacentral:rRNA from 1 species
GACGAACGCUGGCGGCGUGCCUAAUACAUGCAAGUAGAACGCUGAAGGAGGAGCUUGCUUCUCUGGAUGAGUUGCGAACGGGUGAGUAACGCGUAGGUAACCUGCCUGGUAGCGGGGGAUAACUAUUGGAAACGAUAGCUAAUACCGCAUAAGAGUAGAUGUUGCAUGACAUUUGCUUAAAAGGUGCAAUUGCAUCACUACCAGAUGGACCUGCGUUGUAUUAGCUAGUUGGUGGGGUAACGGCUUACCAAGGCGACGAUACAUAGCCGACCUGAGAGGGUGAUCGGCCACACUGGGACUGAGACACGGCCCAGACUCCUACGGGAGGCAGCAGUAGGGAAUCUUCGGCAAUGGACGGAAGGCUGACCGAGCAACGCCGCGUGAGUGAAGAAGGUUUUCGGAUCGUAAAGCUCUGUUGUAAGAGAAGAACGAGUGUGAGAGUGGAAAGUUCACACUGUGACGGUAUCUUACCAGAAAGGGACGGCUAACUACGUG